GGUUGAUCCUGCCAGUAGUCAUAUGCUUGUCUCAAAGAUUAAGCCAUGCAUUGUCUCAGUACUUGCUUUAACAAGGCGAAACCGCGAAUGGCUCAUUAAAUCAGUUAUGGUUCACUAGAUCGUAUGAAUUACAUGGAUAACUGUGGUAAUUCUAGAGCUAAUACAUGCAUACAGCCCGGCUGCCUUGUGCAGCGGGCGCAGUUAUUAGAACAAAACCAAUCCGGCCUUGGUCGGUUUAUUGGUGACUCUGAAUAACCGAAGCGGAGCGCACGGUCUCGUACCGGCGCCAGAU
rnacentral:rRNA from 1 species